UACGUAGGCAGCAAGCGUUGUUCGGAGUUACUGGGCGUAAAGGGUGUGUAGGCGGUUUUCUAAGUCUGGUGUGAAAUCUCCCGGCUCAACUGGGAGGGUGCGCCGAAAACUGGAAGGCUAGAGUGCGGGAUGGGAGAGUGGAAUUCCUGGUGUAGCGGUGAAAUGCGUAGAUAUCAGGAGGAACACCUGUGGUGUAGACGGCUCUCUGGACCGCAACUGACGCUGAGACACGAGAGCGUGGGUAGCAAACAGG
rnacentral:rRNA from 1 species